GAAGGAAAGGAGAAGGCAGUGAAGGAAAGGAAAGGAGGAGGCAGUGGAGGAAAGAAGGUGAUAGGGAAGGAAUGAAUGAGUUUUUGAAGUAAAGGAGUGAAGGAAAUGAGGUAGGGAAGGGAAGGAGGAGGUAAGUGAAGGAAAGAAGGUGAUAGGGAAGGAAUGAAUGAGUUUUUGAAGGAAAGGAGGUAGAGAAGGAAAAGAGGAGGAAGCAGAGAAGGAAAGGAGAAGGCAGUGAAGGAAAGGUGGAUGUAGUGAAUGAAAAGGUAGGAGAGGAGGAAAGGAUGUAGUGAAGGAAAAAGACGGUGAAGGAAAGCAGGAAGCAGUGAAGGAAAGGAAAGGAGGCAGUGAAGGAAAGAAGUUGAUAGGGAAGGAAUGAAUGAAUUCUUGAAGGAAAGGAGGUAGAAAAGGAAAUGAGACUGAAGGAAAAGAG